rnacentral:rRNA from 1 species
UACGAAGGUCCCAAGCGUUAUCCGGAUUUAUUGGGUUUAAAGGGAGCGUAGGCGGUCUUGUAAGUCAGUGGUGAAAUCUCGAGGCUUAACCUCGAAAUUGCCAUUGAUACUGCAGGACUUGAGUACAGUUGCCGUUGGCGGAAUAUGACAUGUAGUGGUGAAAUACAUAGAGAUGUCAUAGAACACCGAUUGCGAAGGCAGCUAACGAAACUGUAACUGACGCUGAGGCUCGAAAGUGUGGGGAUCAAACAGG